rnacentral:rRNA from 1 species
AGAGUUUGAUCCUGGCUCAGGACGAACGCUGGCGGCGUGCUUAACACAUGCAAGUCGAGCGAGGCCCUCCUUCGGGGGGUGCCCUAGCGGCGAACGGGUGAGUAACACGUGGGCAACCUGCCCUCAGCUCUGGGAUAACUCCAAGAAAUUGGUGCUAAUACCGGAUGUGACCGCUGACCGCAUGGUCUGGUGGUGGAAAGAUUCAUCGGCUGAGGAUGGGCCCGCGGCCUAUCAGCUUGUUGGUGGGGUCACGGCCCACCAAGGCGACGACGGGUAGCCGGCCUGAGAGGGUGACCGGCCACACUGGGACUGAGACACGGCCCAGACUCCUACGGGAGGCAGCAGUGGGGAAUAUUGCGCAAUGGGCGAAAGCCUGACGCAGCGACGCCGCGUGAGGGAUGACGGCCUUCGGGUUGUAAACCUCUUUCAGUAGGGACGAAGCGAGAGUGACGGUACCUACAGAAGAAGCACCGGCCAACUACGUGCCAGCAGCCGCGGUAAUACGUAGGGUGCAAGCGUUGUCCGGAAUUAUUGGGCGUAAAGAGCUCGUAGGCGGUCUGUCACGUCGGCUGUGAAAACCCGAGGCUCAACCUCGGGCCUGCAGUCGAUACGGGCAAACUAGAGUACUGCAGGGGAGACUGGAAUUCCUGGUGCAGCGGUGAAAUGCGCAGAUAUCAGGAGGAACACCGGUGGCGAGGGCGGGUCUCUGGGCAGUAACUGACGCUGAGGAGCGAAAGCGUGGGGAGCGAACAGGAUUAGAUACCCUAGUAGUCC